GAUGAACGCUGGCGGCGUGCCUAAUACAUGCAAGUCGAGCGAACGGACGAGAAGCUUGCUUCUCUGAUGUUAGCGGCGGACGGGUGAGUAACACGUGGAUAACCUACCUAUAAGACUGGGAUAACUUCGGGAAACCGUAGCUAAUACCGGAUAAUAUUUUGAACCGCAUGGUUCAAAAGUGAAAGACGGUCUUGCUGUCACUUAUAGAUGGAUCCGCGCUGCAUUAGCUAGUUGGUAAGGUAACGGCUUACCAAGGCAACGAUGCAUAGCCGACCUGAGAGGGUGAUCGGCCACACUAGAACGGAGACACGGUCCAGACUCCUACGGGAGGCAGCAGUAGGGAAUCUUCCGCAAUGGGCGAAAGCCUGACGGAGCAACGCCGCGUGAGUGAUGAAGGUCUUCGGAUCGUAAAACUCUGUUAUUAGGGAAGAACAUAUGUGUAAGUAACUGUGCACAUCUUGACGGUACCUAUUCAGAAAGCCACGGCUAACUACGUG
rnacentral:rRNA from 1 species